GCGCUCAGUGAUUUAGGGUGUUACAAAACAAUAUUAUUACAUUAAUAUUAUCAAUUAGUAUUGUAAUAAAGCUUUUUAAAUGUUUGUUAAUGAUUAAGUGUCAUUAACAAACUCUGAUUUAAAACAUCAAUAUAUAUGCUACGUAAAUUUUCCUUAAAUCAUCAAAACAUCCAAAUUCAAUGAAACAAAAACAACAACAAUGUAUUUAAGAUGAGACACAUUCAGCAUUUAUAAUUUUUUUCUCUCUUUUUUGUUUGACUUUGUUUUCUACAGUAGCCUGUUAACAGUAGACCAAAGGUAUGAUGAUCAAUUAUAAAUGCAAUAUGGUUGAAAGCUUGACAAAAAUGUAGCUUGAAGGAGAAGGGACAGCUGAGUAACAAAGUCCUGGUACGCAGACGACGAUACUAUUACACUGACAAGAGUGUAAUGAUGAUGGAGACACAAGCCAGAGAAAGGGGGACCAAACACCAGGCCAGAAUUCUGCAUGAGUCAGAUCCAGUGGGUGCAGAUCAUCAUACAGAUGGUUCAAGUGUGGAUCCACCUAAUAUUCAAGAUUUUCUGUCCUGGGACACUCGGCUAACCAUCAAGAAAGAACACACUCCAGUGGGCAUCCUUUAUCCAUCCAGACCCUCAUACAGAUGGUUGGAGUUUUGAUUCACCUAAAGUACCAUGCAAGAGCACUCAUUUUCCCUCUUGAGACCAUGGUGUGACCUGCAAGGUCGAAUGGAGACUGUAAACGAGACAAUCUUGGAGUCACCUGCAUUCACUGGUCCAGUUGUUAGUCCAAUUACAGAUGGAGAUUAUAGAAGAGGAUGAUGUCUUUUCUCCAACAUCUUUCUAGACUGAUAAAAGAUCUAGACAGGCUCAAAC